AUGGACAACAUCAAACACGCUCUCAUCAGCUUGGUACUAUUUCUGCUCUGCAUAAAAGGUCUUAUUGAUGGGAGUGAUGUCUCCCAGACUGACAUACUUUGGAAAGACCAGGGCGACAAUGCAACAAUGAACUGCAGCCACACCAAGGGUGCGGACUACUUCCAGAUGUAUUGGUACAGACAACUGUCAGGAGAAACAAUGAAACUAAUCGUGUUCACAAGAACCGCCAGCAAAGACCAUGAUUUUGGAGAGUUCAGCAAAGAGAAAUUCUCAGCCACCAAGCCAUACGCUGAGAGUGGGACAUUCACAGUGAAGAAUCUGGAGCCAGAAGAUAAAGGCUUGUAUUUCUGUGCUGCGAGUAAACAGUGA